GGGGGGGGGGGGGGGGGGGGGUGGGGGGGGCGGGGGGGGCGGCGGGGCGGGGAGGGCGUGCGGGUGCGGGGGGCGGGGGGCGGGGGGGUGAGGCGUGGAUCGGCUCCUACUUUGGCGUGGGGGAUAGCGUGUGGAAGGAUACGCUAACAGGGCAUACGACGGACGGGAGAGAGCAGGGGAUCUUGGCGCUUUGUGCGACAGAAUGAGCCGGCGUCGGAUUAGCUAGUUGGGUGGGUAAGGGCCCACCAAGGCCACGAUCCGUAGCUGGUCUGAGAGGAUGAUCAGCCACACUGGAACUGAGACACGGUCCAGACUCCUACGGGAGGCAGCAGUGGGGAAUCUUGGACAAUGGGCGAAAGCCUGACCGAGCCAUGCCGCGUGGGUGAUGAAGGCCUUCGGGUUGUAAAGCCCUGUUAUUGGGAAAGAAAAACAGCAGAUGAAACCCCGGCUGUUUUGACGGUACCCAAACAGAAAGCCACGGCUAACUUCGUG
rnacentral:rRNA from 1 species